CCUACGGGAGGCAGCAGUGAGGAAUAUUGGUCAAUGGGCGCGAGCCUGAACCAGCCAAGUCGCGUGAGGGAAGACGGUCCUAUGGAUGGUAAACCGCUUUUGUAGGGGAGAAAAAGACGCCACGCGUGGCGUUCCGCGAGUACCCGAAGAAAAAGCAUCGGCUAACUCCGUGCCAGCAGCCGCGGUAAUACGGAGGAUGCGAGCGUUAUCCGGAUUUAUUGGGUUAAAGGGGUGCGCAGGCGGAACAUCAAGUCAGCGGUAAAAUUGAGAGGCUCAACCUCUUCGAGCCGUUGAAACUGGGUUUCUUGAGUGCGUGAGAGGUAUGCGGAAUGCGUGGUGUAGCGGUGAAAUGCAUAGAUAUCACGCAGAACUCCGAUUGCGAAGGCAGCAUACCGGCGCUCAACUGACGCUCAUGCACGAAAGUGUGGGUAUCGAACAGGAUUAGAUACCCCUGUAGUC
rnacentral:rRNA from 1 species